ACUGCAAGUGCUGAUAGUAACAGUAAAUUACCAGACCCCGUGUGUAUUCGAAUAAGAAAUGGAUCGAUAGGGAACAUACUAUCAGUGACCUUGAGCUGCAUUUUGAUAUCCAUUUUAAUUCUGAAGAAGUGUUUGAAAAGCAAUUUCCACCAAUCGGUCAUCGGGAAAAGGACUUGAGCAGCAAACAGAAGAUGGCCAUGACAUACAUGAACACAAAACAUUGAAAUGAUGUCUGAGGACAAAAUUGAUGCCACAAGAGCUACAUGUUAAGAUAUGACAUCUUAAUCAAGUGAUACAGACACUUCUGCAUAGGAAUCAGAUACUGAUUUAGUGUAUGCAUCAAAUUAUUUAUUUUCAUUUGCAUGUUUGAAAUACAAAAUUGCUCAUU